UCAAAGGCUAUGCCGUCUAGCGUCAGGAAAAAGAAACGUUUAUCAAUAAUAAUAUGAAAAAAAUGUCCGCUCUAGCUUGUUGACACACUUAAUUGAAAUAAGUCAAUAACUAACAAUAAAAGGCAAUUUGAUACUCACGUAAUAUUCUUCCCUCCAAAUUUGUAUCAAGUCUUCACCAAAAAGCCACCACCGCAGAAUCACACAUCACAACUGACGAAAUCCCAAGAUUGUUGACGAAAUAUCGUCUUCUGCUACCUCUAGGUUCCGAUGACCAUUGAUAAUUGGAGAGCAGCAUAGGAACGGAACAACUUUGUCUGGGCCAAAUGCCCUACUUAAUAGAAUCCUCUGGGGAAACUUUGUUUUGAUUUAGGCUGAAGUUUUUGUGUGACCUAGGUGUUUAGAUGAAAUGAUCCACCAAUAAUGCAAGCUAUGUCUUCUAAAGCUAAAUAGUUUCUAUUGUCAUUUAAUGUUUAUAAUAAUAUUUCAGGUUAACUUCCCCUGUCAAAUUGUAGUAAAUCUCCAAGAUGCCUUCCUCAGAUCCAAUUCUUUGCUGCCAUCUCUUCUGCAGACAUUAGCAAAAUCAUGCUGCCACUCAAGAGGUUGUGGUGAGUAGUGACCUCCACUU